GUUGUAUAGUUAAGUGACUAAGCGUACACGGUGGAUGCCUUGGCAAUCAGAGGCGAUGAAGGACGUGCUAAUCUGCGAAAAGCUUGGAUGAGUCGAUAAGAGGCGUUUAAUCCAAGAUGUCCGAAUGGGGAAACCCAGUAGAUGAAGAAUCUACUAUUUAUUACUGAAUCCAUAGGUAAUAAAGGCAAACCGGGAGAACUGAAACAUCUAAGUACCCCGAGGAAAAGAAAUCAACCGAGAUUCUGUAAGUAGCGGCGAGCGAAAGCGGAGUAGCCAUUCAGUUAUAGCACAAGACUUAGAGGAAUUAGCUGGGAAGCUAAAUCACAGAGGGUGAUAAUCCCGUACUUUAAAAGUCCUGUGUGGAACUAAGCUGAAAAUAAGUAGGGCGGGACACGAGAAAUCCUGUCUGAAGAUGGGGGGACCAUCCUCCAAGGCUAAAUACUCCUGAUUGACCGAUAGUGAACCAGUACUGUGAAGGAAAGGCGAAAAGAACCCCAGCGAGGGGAGUGAAAUAGAACCUGAAACCGUGUACGUACAAGCAGUGGGAGCAAGCGUAAGCUUGUGACUGCGUACCUUUUGUAUAAUGGGUCAGCGACUUAUAUUUUGUAGCAAGGUUAACUGAAUAAGGGAGCCGUAGGGAAACCGAGUCUUAACUGGGCGUAUAGUUGCAAGGUAUAGACCCGAAACCCGGUGAUCUAGCCAUGGGCAGGUUGAAGGUUGGGUAACACUAACUGGAGGACCGAACCGACUAAUGUUGAAAAAUUAGCGGAUGACUUGUGGCUGGGGGUGAAAGGCCAAUCAAACCGGGAGAUAGCUGGUUCUCCCCGAAAUCUAUUUAGGUAGAGCCUUGAGCGAACACCUUCGGGGGUAGAGCACUGUUUCGGCUAGGGGUCCAUCCCGGAUUACCAACCCGAUGCAAACUGCGAAUACCGAAGAGUGAUACUCAGGAGACACACGGUGGGUGCUAACGUCCAUCGUGAAGAGGGAAACAACCCAGACCGCCAGCUAAGGUCCCAAAGUCUAUAUUAAGUGGGAAACGAAGUGGGAAGGCUUAGACAGCUAGGAUGUUGGCUUAGAAGCAGCCACCAUUUAAAGAAAGCGUAAUAGCUCACUAGUCGAGUCGGCCUGCGCGGAAGAUGUAACGGGGCUAAAAUAUAGCACCGAAGCUGCGGCAUCAGACGUAAGUCUGUUGGGUAGGGGAGCGUCGUGUAAGCGGAUGAAGGUGAAUCGAGAGGUUCGCUGGACGUAUCACGAGUGCGAAUGCUGACAUAAGUAACGACAAAACGAGUGAAAAACUCGUUCGCCGGAAGACCAAGGGUUCCUGUCCAACGUUAAUCGGGGCAGGGUGAGUCGGCCCCUAAGGCGAGGCUGAAAAGCGUAGUCGAUGGGAAACGGGUUAAUAUUCCCGUACUUGGAUAAACUGCGAUGUGGGGACGGAGAAGGUUAGGUGAGCAAUCUGUUGGAUAUGAUUGUUUAAACUGGUAGGUGGAGGNNNNNNNNNNNNNNNNNNNNNNNNNNNNNNNNNNNNNNNNNNNNNNNNNNNNNNNNNNNNNNNNNNNNNNNNNNNNNNNNNNNNNNNNNNNNNNNGUCACCGAUACCACGCUUCCAGGAAAAGCCACUAAGCUUCAGGUUUAUCUAAACCGUACUAUAAACCGACACAGGUGGUCAGGUAGAGAAUACUCAGGCGCUUGAGAGAACUCGGGUGAAGGAACUAGGCAAAAUAGCACCGUAACUUCGGGAGAAGGUGCGCUGGCGUAAGUUGUAGGAGUUUACCUCCGAAGGCUGAACCAGUCGAAGAUACCAGCUGGCUGCAACUGUUUAUUAAAAACACAGCACUCUGCAAACACGAAAGUGGACGUAUAGGGUGUGAUGCCUGCCCGGUGCUGGAAGGUUAAUUGAUGGUGUUAUCGAAAGAGAAGCUCCUGAUCGAAGCCCCAGUAAACGGCGGCCGUAACUAUAACGGUCCUAAGGUAGCGAAAUUCCUUGUCGGGUAAGUUCCGACCUGCACGAAUGGCAUAAUGAUGGCCAGGCUGUCUCCACCCGAGACUCAGUGAAAUUGAAAUCGCCGUGAAGAUGCGGUGUACCCGCGGCUAGACGGAAAGACCCCGUGAACCUUUACUAUAGCUUGACACUGAACAUUGAAUUUUGAUGUGUAGGAUAGGUGGGAGACUAUGAAACAGUGACGCCAGUCAUUGUGGAGUCGUCCUUGAAAUACCACCCUUUAACGUUUGAUGUUCUAACGAAGAUUGCGAAACGCGGUCUCGGACAGUGUCUGGUGGGUAGUUUGACUGGGGCGGUCUCCUCCCAAAGAGUAACGGAGGAGCACGAAGGUUUGCUAAUCACGGUCGGACAUCGUGAGGUUAGUGCAAUGGUAGAAGCAAGCUUAACUGCGAGACCAACAAGUCGAGCAGGUGCGAAAGCAGGUCAUAGUGAUCCGGUGGUUCUGAAUGGAAGGGCCAUCGCUCAACGGAUAAAAGGUACUCCGGGGAUAACAGGCUGAUACCGCCCAAGAGUUCAUAUCGACGGCGGUGUUUGGCACCUCGAUGUCGGCUCAUCACAUCCUGGGGCUGAAGUAGGUCCCAAGGGUAUGGCUGUUCGCCAUUUAAAGUGGUACGCGAGCUGGGUUUAGAACGUCGUGAGACAGUUCGGUCCCUAUCUGCCGUGGGCGUUGGAUGAUUGAAAGGGGCUGCUCCUAGUACGAGAGGACCGGAGUGGACGCAUCACUGGUGUUCCAGUUGUCUCGCCAGAGGCACUGCUGGGUAGCUAAAUGCGGAAGAGAUAAGUGCUGAAAGCAUCUAAGCACGAAACUUGCCUUGAGAUGAGUCAUCCCAGUCUAUAAGACUGUAAGGGUUGUUGGAGACUACGACGUAGAUAGGUCUGGUGUGUAAGCGUAGUGAUACGUUGAGCUAACAGAUACUAAUUGCCCGAGAGGCUUAACUAUACAACCU
rnacentral:rRNA from 1 species